GUAGCUGGUUGGCUCAGCUGAGAAAAUAUCUGCUUCAUCCAGUCCCCUCCCGCAUCUCACCUGCCCCUCACCUCCUCUCUCGAUCCACCGCCGGCGCUCUCCACAGAGACGGCGCCGUGCCGUGCCUGCUCUCACCUUCGCCUUCUUCCUCGCGCACGAUGGCCGCCGAUUCGCCGCCUCCUCUCCAGCUCCUUCGCCGAGCUCCGUCUCCUCUGCCACGUCCCUCGUCCUGGACGGCAGGAGGUGCACGGACCACGACCGCCGCAACGCUGAGCUCUGCCGCCAUGGACGCGGCGGACGAUGUCGGCCUCGCCACCCUCCACCCGCACCUCGACGCCUCCUCUAGUGCGGCCGCGUUCCCCAACCCCAAGGGUGGCGGCGGCGGCGCGGGAGGCAUGGUCACGCCGGGAAGAAGCGUGCACGAGCUGACACCAGCUGGCAGUGCAUAGGCCUGCUGUUCUACACAUUUUCUUCAUUGGGGAGGUUAAUCUUCUCUCUUUCUCCCGGUUUGUAAGUUUUGGUGUAGAGAAAUUAUGCAUGCCAACUGUAUGAUGAUCUGUCUAUGUGGAAUGCAAUUGCUUUUCGGGGGUUUGUUUUGCAGGUUAUCAGUGGUGGGGUGGCCGCUGGCCUACACAUUUUCUUCAUUGGGGAGGUUAAUCUUCUCUCUUUCUCCCCGUUUGUAAGUUUUGGUGUAGAGAAAUUAUGCAAGCCAACUGUAUGAUGAUCUGUCUAUGUGGAAUGCAAUUGUUUUUCGGGGGUUUGUUUUGCAGGUUAUCAGGGUGGGCACACGCGCCCAUCCCAAUAGUUUCUUGAUAAUAAUGUUUUAUCUCAGGAUACGUCCGCCUACUUUUCGAUCAAUGAGAGGUUGCACAGAAAACAGGAGACAAGGAAGAUUUAGUUGGAACUGGUUUUAAAAUGGGCUUCAAAAUUUCAAGAGCAAGAUUAAGGUGUCUUGAUAAAGGUUUGGCAAGCUGACCUCAAAUUUAGAGGAUGAGCGAGACAUCAAUAUGGCCAAGUAUACAGACGCUGAACUAUUUUCCAUGCAGUACAUACCGAAAACUUACUUGCAGCAUGACAACAGAACUGGGUUUCUGUCCUCUGAAACUGCAUGCCGACAGUGACCAGUUGGUCCUUCUCCGCUCCUUUCAGUGUUUCAGAGAGCCUUAUCCUCAAGCAAAGACCAGUUGGAUUGGCUCAAGGAACAAAACCAGAUGAAAUCUCUAUUGCUAAAAUAUUUGGCCAACUGAAGAUUGUACCGCCCGAGCGACAUCGGCGGCUGGACACGGCAGCGGCGGUAGCAGCAAGCUCCGGCCGACCGCGAUGGCUGGACACGGCAGCGGUGGCUGCACGGAGGGCUUGAGCGACGGCGGCGGCUGGACGCCAUGACCUGCUCUAGAAAGUUCCAGACCAAGGGAGAAAGCAGCGGCAUGCAAGCAGCAAGAAGGUGGCGACACGGAGACGGAAGAGCGCGUCCUGGCAUGGUUUUCAUCUUCCAGGUGUAUGAUACUUUUCCUUUUCAGGUGUUCCUUGUGAGGUAUUGGCCGAGGUGUGUGGAAUUUGAAGGAAUGAAUUAUGGGCUGCCACCUGCCUUCUCUACUUCCUCCUCCCUUGAACUAUUGUAACUGCAGCAAUGGGGCACACAUGGGGACGACAUUAUUCAGUUGAAGGAGUCACUGCCUCUCCCAACCUCGAUGUGAUGCCCGGUGGUUCGUCCAUCUGAAGAGCCACAUUCACCCUGCACUGGUAGUAUCUCUCUUUCCUGCAUAUCUCCCAUGUCCUCCUUAAUUUGUUUGUGUAAUGGAAGCUGGAUUUGGACAUUCAUGAUUUGUUUAUCUAAUCAAUGCCUUGAUCUAAAAAUGGAAUCAGACCAGGUCACUUUUUAUAUCCUGGUAAACCGCUUUGUUCCAUUUGUUUUACUUUUCUCCAAGGUGCCAAAAUCUUAGCUGUUCAUUGCAUUUAAAUUGGACAAGCAAGAAAUGAUUUGAUUGAUAUAUUUCUAUGGUCUUACUAAUGGUUAUAAAUAAAUCUGUGAUGUCAUCUUGGACAUCUUGAAUUCUUGAUCUAUUCUUUCUUUACUGGAUAAUAAUAAGGGGGUUUGGGUUACUGAGUAAUCCACACCCGGAGGUUUACAUAAUCGGAAUUUUUUAUAACAUAAAUGUUGAAUUAGUUUGCAUUUUCCUUGAAAUUUUCCCACUCUUGGCCAUUUAUGAAGUGUCAUUUAACAUUUUAGGUGCGGUGCCAGAUGAGAGUUGUACCUUCGCCGCGUCGAUGGAACAGCAUACUCUGAACUAUUUUCCUUGCAUGUUUCUCCCCCUUCCCUAUGUAUUUAUCUGACAUCCUGAUGCUUUUCUUUUCAGGGGCAUCGGUUGAAAAAUACAAAGUAAUAAUUAUUGAGGGGAUUUAGGCGCAUUCCAAUGGAUAACAAGCUCCUUUUGACUAGAACACCUCUUCAGAAUAACCUAGCACAUGCCAUCAAGAAUUUGACUCAUGGUAUGAUCUGCUGGGCUAACACAUGCACCACUUACUGCCCUCUACUCUAUGAAAUAUUUGCACAUGCUAUUAUUGUUCAGAGACUACAUUCUGAGAGCACUUGUAUUUUGCCAGUACUGCCUGCUAUUUGUGGCUUUCUUUGCUUCUAUUGAUGUACGGACAAAGGAAUAAGGCGAGGAAACCAAAUGAGAGGCUUCUUUAGCAGUUGACCGCUCCAUCUCUCUUCCUCUCUCCUCAGCUUAGCAGUUUGGCAUUCAUCUCAGUGUGUUAUUAUCUCUUGAGGGUGCAAAGAGCUAAGGUUGGCUAAAAUUCAUGAAGUGCCAUGGUGUUCUCCCGGGUUUGGUUGUCCAUGUCAACGUGCAAUUUGAAGAUCAGAUUGCCACUCUCUGUGGAACAAGUUAAGAAUAAUUAUGAUGCUUCUGUGCUAUGAAAUUUCUAUGACAUCUACCAGUCCUAUGAUUAGUUGCUUGUUUACUUCCUUACUAAGUAAAUUCGGUUAUGGCAAAAUAUACUAGCUGUUAAUAUGUGUUUCUCAAAUUGUGACAUUAGGCAUUUAGCUUUUUCUCUUGUUAAUCAUGAAGGCCAGUAUAUUGAAGAGCCGUGGAGUAAAAUCUAACCAGCACGUGAUUCUUUUUUGCAGGGAACCAUUACAUGUUCUCAUGGCAAUCAUGGCUAUUGAUUUCUAUUAUAUUCAGAAAAAAAUCAUAUUAAUAUCUGAAUAAUGCAGUCUGAAACGAUACAAAUGUCUGCUGAAAUGGACUUCUUACUCAACAAAAUAUGUUGCUAGGCUUGGAAAAUAAUGCCUUGAGGGAAAGUCUCAACAUUGUAGCAUAGGAGCGACUAAUUAAACAUGGAAACUAAUUGUGUUUUCCCUCUUAAAUUUUAUUUCUUGUUUUGGAGUUCUGCUCUCCAUUAAAUAAUCAUUUUGGCAAUUUGGUCAAGAGCUCAUCAUUAGUAGACUAGGGGUUUACGCUGGCCUGCAUUUUGCAUGAAGUUUUUCCUGUGAAAUAUGAUGGCUAAUCCAGUCUGACUUUCGUGAUUUUAUCACAAAUUUCGUUUGCUGAAGUAAUACAGUUAGUAGAUGGAGCUCUGACGAUGUCCUGUUAUGAUUUCUGUCUGUCGUUUUGCAGACAUCUAUAGGCAGCAACAAGAUUGUCAGGGUGUUGUACCAGGUCGGUAAGUAUGCCGACAAGAACCCAAUUCUGCCGACUGUGUUGAGGGAGCCCUUAGCCUACGUCGCUAGCUGUAAUCCAAGGGACAUCACAUACUGUAACGAACGACAAGGAGGGGCUGAGGAGUGGUCAGUAGCCAAGAUCACACCCAAUUCUUCUCAUGUUUUUAAUUUCCUCUAAUCCAUUUCCUAACGUUUCUCCAAAGCAAUUUAUAUACUCCUACUGAAUUAAGUGUGGUGUUGUAGGAUUUGUGGACCUGUAUUGGAUCUUCGUCGUGUAAUUAUCUCAGUUACUGUGUAUUGUCUAAUUCUGUGAGUAAUAUUCAUAUCUGGGUUUUAAAAAAUUAAUAAAAAUAUUCUAGCUAUAUUAGAUUAACGAUAGCUUGACGAGGGCAUCUGUAAUAGAAUACAUAUUUUAUUUUGAGAAAUAUUUAAAUCUCUAUAUGGUGCACCUGUUUCAUCUGAUGUUUAAAUUCUCGGAUGUAUGAAAGUUAUAGUAUUUUUCAGUUCUUCUGUUGAUUAUGUGCACUUAAAAGUAACAAAAAAACUGGCAUCGGGUCUCUUAAGUGAAGAAAGGAACAUAUCUAACUACUUACUGUUAGAUGUAGAAACUCUCUCACUCAGGGUGGCCAGCGGGAGCAGCACCACUCCUAGCUCGAACCGCCGCCGCAUGCCGUCUUGUCGCCGGGAGGAACAAUGAAUUAUUUCCCCAAGAUGAUUUAGCAUAUGACAAAUCCAUCUCAGUGUAGAGCCUGUGCUUUGAGUACAUCUAAAACAUAUGUACCACUUUAAUAUUAAAGGUGAGAUUACUGACUGAUGGUAGAAAGAGAGAUGAAUUUGUUCUAUCAAGUUUUUUGUGCAUUCUAUUUUGAUGACACAAUUAUAAGAAGUUUUUUUUGUUAAAAAUAAAGUAUAUUACUAUGACUAAUUUUGUGACUACUUGACCCUGUACUACAUUGAUGGUAUAUUUCCCUCCCAUCAAAAAAUAUCAUCGCCUUUUUUAUUCGAUGAGAUGUGACCAAGGCAAGAGGGACAUGUUCAGUGUGCACUGGCUAUUUGAUGAAACACAAGUACUGUAUGUUCUCUUUUCACUUUGUUUCUGCAUAUAUUUCUGAUGUUCCCUUACUAGGUAAGGUAUUGUCUUCACUCUUCAGUGCAUGCAUUAACCAAGGACACUAGAUUCAAGCUUAGGACCUCUGAAUUGAGACCUGCUAUGAAGAUGAUUUCUUUGAUUUAUUGAGUUUUUUUAGCACAAAUGAUCCUCCACCACUUAUAGACACUUCACAUUUUUUUGUCAUAAUCUGCAUGCUUUCCUGAUUCCUGAGUAGCAGUUGCCUGAUGUCUUUUCUUUUCCUAUACCUUGACUCCAUUGAGAUUUUUUCUUAUUAUGAAUUUUAUAUUGAUAGGCCGAGAUGUAGAAAGCAAUGACCGGUCUAAUAGACCCAUCACACAAUUGGAGCCUUUAAUUAAACCUCUCUCGUGAGUUCCAUAUCACAUGGCCUCAUGCAGUUCUCUAGCUUUCAACCAGGCUUUGGCCUUGUUCCAGGUAAAGUGAGAAAAUAGGAAUUGCAGACUGGGGAGGACGAACUACCACUAGGAUGCAGCUGGCAGGUUGUUGAGGUUCUAACAAUUAUCAUGUUUGAGGCGAUACUGAAGCCCAACCACAAGUACACGGCUCACAUGGCUGAGGAGGCAAAAUAGUGCCCACCAUCAUGUUCUACCUGUCAAUUCACCGUCGUUAGCCUGCUUAUGGGAGUCUUUCACUGUAUAGAAGUACUAUGGACAGUUUGGAGGACGCAAAUAAAAUAUACUGAAUGAUUAUAAAUA